AUUCCAGUAAUGAGAAGAUCCAGAAGCAUUUGAAAGUAUUCAUGUCAAUGAACAGCCAAAGUAGAGAAAAGAUGUAUACAGCCAACAUCUUCAUGCCCCAGGAGCCCAAGUUUGGAGAUCUUUGUUUCAUUCUCAAAGGACAGCUCUACUUAUCCUUCCAAUGAUCACUGCCAAGUUCUCUUUAGCCAUGGGAUACAGGCGCAGAUUUAUUAUAUGAAUAUAUUACGUAGUGGCAAAGUCCAGGCUUUUAAGGGAACAGCAGAGAUUUCUGCCUUGGUUGCACAGAAGGAAGGAAUACACAUAGAAAUGAACACUAUUUGAGGAGCGAAUACAGCUGGAUAAUAAAAGAAGAGACUUUUUUUUCAAAGCUGUUCAUUUUUCAAUCCGCAAGAAUUAAGAUAUAAUUACAAAAUGACUGUCACAUGGAAUAUUAUUUGACUCCUGAGAAUGAAAGCUUUCUUUUUUAUGUAAGCAGAGAGAAAUAAAGGUUGGUGUCUCUGCGGCUUAUUUCCCUAACACCGCUGCCACCUAUGUUCCCACUGUCUCUACUCCAC
rnacentral:lncRNA from 10 species